CAACAGCAUUUUGAGAAAAUAAAAUUGGACAGAGAACCAUCAACCCAAAAAUUGAGGAGAAGCAGCAGGUGCUCCGCCUCUGCCGCCGCCGGUGACCCGCCGUAGCAGCCGCUCGCCCCGCCGCCCCUGACCCUCUUCAAUCUACUGUUCCAUUCCACCCCGACCCAAACCAAACACACACUAAACACCGGCGCCGACCUCUCCUAGGUUUCGUCCCAUCUCACCGGAGAUGGCCGGGGCAGCGUCGUCGGUAGCGCCCGUUCUCGUCAUCUGCUUGCUUUCUCUUGCUCUCUUCCUCCACAGGUGCCGGAGCUGUGAGGCUGUGGAGAGAGAGAGGACGUUGGCAAUGAUCAAGCCGGAUGGUUUGUCUGGCAACUACAAGGAAAAAAUCAAGGAGGCCAUCUUGGGGUCUGGAUUUGAUAUCAUAGAAGAGGCAGUUGUCCAUCUGGAUGCAGAGAGGGCAUCACUCUUCUAUGCUGAACAUGCCGAUAGAAGCUUCUUCAACAGCCUAGUGAAGUACAUGACGAGUGGUCCAGUUUGUGCUAUGGUUCUGGAAAGCCCUGAUGCCAUUUCACGCUGGCGAAAUUUGAUAGGGCCAACUGAUGCAAGAAAGGCUAAAACUUCACACCCUGACAGAUUCAAGCCGAUCGGAGCGCGAUCCGGCAGGUCGGAGGCCAGCCAUGUCGGGGGUUUUCGGCAGGGUGUUCGGGAAGUCCAAGGAGCAGAGCCAGGCGUCCGCGCUGGCCUCCAUCGACAAGCUGAGCGAGACUCUUGAAAUGUUAGAAAAGAAGGAAAAUUUACUAAUGAAGAAGGCAAAUCUUGAAGUUGAGAAGGCCAAGGCGUUCACCAAAGCCAAGAACAAAAAAGCUGCAAUACAGUGUUUGAAGAGGAAAAGAUUAUAUGAGCAACAGGUGGAGCAGCUUGGGAAUUUCCAGUUAAGGAUUCAUGAUCAGAUGAUAAUGCUGGAAGGUGCAAAAGCUACAACAGAGACUGUGGAUGCAUUGAGAACCGGAGCAUCAGCAAUGAAAGCUAUGCACAAAUCAACAAAUAUUGAUGAUGUUGACAAAACCAUGGAUGAAAUUAAUGACAAUAUGGAGAACAUGAGGCAGAUCCAGGAUCUACUAUCUGCGCCUAUGGGAGCAGCAAGUGAUUUUGAUGAAGAUGAGCUGGAAGCUGAACUUGCGGAUUUGGAGGGCGAGGAGUUGGAGGCACAGCUACUAGCACCUACCACAAGUGCUCCUAUGACUGCUCCAGCGCGUGUACCUCAGCAGUCGAGUCGGCCCACUGCGCAGAGUAGUAAAACUGAAGACGAUGAGCUGGCAGCUUUACAAGCAGAGAUGGCUAUGUAAUUAGUUUGCAGGACUUGGCGUGGUCAUGUUUAGAGACCAGAUUGUGCAAAUAUAUUUGGGACCACGGUAUUUUCAUGGAGGUCUUCCUGGGAAGACGUCAGAAGUACACACAGAAACUAGUUGCAUCUGAUGAUCUCUUAUGUAUAUCUUUAUCAUGUUACUUCUGUAAUCAAACAUCUAAGAUGCGCUGAUGAGCGCAUUAUCAGCUAAUAAAGGGCAUCUGCCAUCAUUGUAUA